rnacentral:rRNA from 1 species
GACGAACCGUGCGAACGUUAUUCGGAAUCACUGGGCUUAAAGCGCGUGUAGGCGGGCGGGUACGUCGGCGACUGAAAGGCCCCCCGGCUCAACCGGGGAAGGGGUGCCGAAACGGCCGGCCUGGAGGGACGUAGGGGGACCUGGAACUUCCGGUGGAGCGGUGAAAUGCGUUGAGAUCGGAAGGAACGCCCGUGGCGAAAGCGAGGUCCUGGACGUCUGCUGACGCUGAGACGCGAAAGCCAGGGGGAGCGAACGGG